AGAGUUUGGUCCUGGAUCAGGACGAACGCUGGCGGCGUGCUUAACACAUGCAAGUCGAACGGAAAGGUCUCUUCGGAGAUACUCGAGUGGCGAACGGGUGAGUAACACGUGGGCGAUCUGCCCUGCACUUCGGGAUAAGCCUGGGAAACUGGGUCUAAUACCGGAUAGGACCACGGGAUUCAUGUCCUGUGGUGGAAAGCUUUUGCGGUGUGGGAUGGGCCCGCGGCCUAUCAGCUUGUUGGUGGGGUAACGGCCUACCAAGGCGACGACGGGUAGCCGGCCUGAGAGGGUGUCCGGCCACACUGGGACUGAGAUACGGCCCAGACUCCUACGGGAGGCAGCAGUGGGGAAUAUUGCACAAUGGGCGCAAGCCUGAUGCAGCGACGCCGCGUGGGGGAUGACGGCCUUCGGGUUGUAAACCUCUUUCACCAUCGACGAAGGUUCGGGUUUUCUCGGAUUGACGGUAGGUGGAGAAGAAGCACCGGCCAACUACGUGCCAGCAGCCGCGGUAAUACGUAGGGUGCGAGCGU
rnacentral:rRNA from 1 species